UUACUCUGGUUUCUCUUCUGAUCCCAUAAAUCUUUUGCCUUUUACCAAAGAUUCCCAUGGAGAAAAAUACUUACGUCUUUAUUAUUCUUGAAGAAAAUGAAAACUCAUGGUU